UACGGAGGAUGCGAGCGUUAUCCGGAUUUAUUGGGUUUAAAGGGAGCGCAGGCGGAGAUGCAAGCGUGACGUCAAAUUUCGGGGCUCAACCCCGUCUCGCGUCGCGAACUGCGUCCCUUGGUUGCGGGAAGGGGAGGCGGAACUCGUGGUGUGGCGGUGAAAUGCGCAGAUAUCAGGAGGAACACCGAUGGCGAAGGCAGGUCUCUGGGCCACUACUGACGCUGAGAAGCGAAAGCAUGGGGAGCGAACAGGAUUAGAUACCCU
rnacentral:rRNA from 1 species